UGACACCCUUUAGGAGGGUUAAGAACAGGCAUAGAUAAAAGCAGGACUCACGCUCCAUUCUUUGCUCCUCUCGGUUCAUCCCUAAGAUGGGCUGACGGGGGCCCGGUACCGAAGGUGAAUGUCACUGUGUAUCUGUUCAAUUGUUUACUCUGUAUACUCAUCAUUCUGGCAUUAAAUCUUGAUUUUAUACUUAACCAUUUCUCAUUAUUUUACAAGGUAAAUACUUUGCUGGUUUUACUGGUUGGGUCUUGGAACUGGAGAGAAAUGGACCCGGUCGUGCACAGGGAGGGAAGAGAGCAGAAACUCCCAUUUAACAACAAAAAGGUGAUACAUUUUCCUAAUGACAAACAAAAUGCAUUAAAUGUGUUUUUCCAGACCAUUUGUAUCUUCUCUUCAAGCUGUUUAAGUUUGACAACAGAGAAUGGAAGAAUUUACUAUUCAAAAACUUACCUUAAACUCCCAGUUAACCAAAGCAGAUAUGGCAGCAAUUCAAUCCCUUGACGCAUCUACCUGUGGUGAAGACAAAGUCAGUAAAAACUGAACAUCAUAAUGAAGAAGAAAGGAGAUUUAAGUGACUUGGAAUGUGGCAUUGUUGUUGGUGCCACUCCAAGGUUUCAGAAACUGCUGGUCUGCUGGGAUUUUCACUCACAACCAUCUUGGACAGACUGAUUCCAGGUGACAGAAAGACAAUAGUUGCUCAAAUAACCAGUCAUUACAACACAGAUAUGUAGAAUACCAAGUCUGAAUACACAAUGUGAAGUACCUUGAAGCAGAUGAGCUACAGCAGCCGAAGACCACACCAGGUGCUGCAUCUCGGUGGUAUUUUGCUGUAAGGGAUCCCAUGGUCCCAACUGACCAAUAUUAAAAUACCACAGCCUAUCUGAAUACUGUUGCUGACCAUGUUCGUCCCUUUAUGACCACCGUUUCCCCAACUUCUAAUGGUUUCCUGAAUCGUACUCCAGUGGCCUCAACAAUCCCUAGAUUGCAAUCUAAUGAAGCAACUUUUGGAUGAGAUGAAUUAGAAGAUUAAUGUCAUGGAUGUGCAGUGAACAAAUAUGCAUUAAUCUGUGUGAUGCUAAAGGUCUCAAAGUAGUGCUUUUGACACUGCGUUGAUUCUGUACAAAGAAUCAAUGCAGUUGUGAAGGAAAAAAGAGGGUCCAACAUGGUAUUAGCAAGGUUUACCUAAGAAGUGGAUGGUGUAUAUGUUGUGUUGUUUACAUAUAGUCUGUUUAAAAGAGCUGUUAGUAAAGAAAUCAUCAUUUGCCUGUCUGCUUCCCUGCGGUUCACUGCUGUGAAACUGAGCCGCUCAUUUUUUCCAUUUGUUUGUAGGGUUAGGAUGACAUUGCAUCACGAGUACUGAAAAUGGACGGUUUGCCUGAGAGCGCAGUGGUGAACAUUGAUCACACAUGGCAACACAAGCUAAAAAUAGCUCAUUCGCUAUUAUAGGAUAUUUGCUCCUUGAGCGUGGUAUCCCCAGCCACUUGGGUCCAAAUUAGACGUAUGCAUUCUGAUAGCACACACAGCAUCCUCCAUCAUGCCUACUCCGCUCGCCUAUUGGUACAGCAGCAGGGAGCAGUUAAAAAAUUUUAGUUUUAUGAUAUAUUAAUAAAUGAUGGAUAAAUAAGUGGUUCAUUUGUUAUACACUGCAGCUGGACCGAGCUAAAGAUUAGGUUGACAGCAAGGAGGCUUUUAAACCUUGAGGACCUGGAGCUUAACACCAAAGAUAAAUCAUCAAAAUGCCAGCAGAAAGUGUAAAAGGCUGGUCAACAUUUAUAAGAAAGCUGUGAUUGGUGGUAAUGCAAAUAAAGAUCUAUCCACUAAUUAUUUGAAAGGGUAUCAGUAUUUUUGACAUGCAAUUUUUUAAAUAGGAUGUGAAAAAAACAUAAUUUUUUUAAAAUAGUAUUGUUCCAAUAUAUUUUAAGCCACCCAGGUACCCCAUACUCCAGCAACAACCCCACAAAAUACCUCGGGUGAGACACUCGUAGGCCUUCUCCAGAUCAACAAAACACAUGUAAUUACAAAGAUCCUGUGACUCAGAGUGAGAAGAAAAGACUCCAAACCCUUCAUACUGUUUAAAAUAGUAGGAGUGGACAAAAGGGCUUAAACGUUAUUACAAAGACAAGUUAAAAAGCAAAGUGUUUAAUUUAUUUAGAAAUUCAACACUAACUGGUGUUAAUCUCUUUCUGUAUUUUUUUCUUUACAUAAGUGCAUAAUUAUUUUCUUAUGGAGCAAAUAUUAUAUUUUUCAGUGUUCAAAAUGUCAGUGUUAAAUGUCCAUGUGUCAAAUUAGGACAAACAGUACAAGUUUGAAUCCUAAUGUACAGAAAUACGGAGUUAUAUGCAGACUAUAUGAGAUAAUCUUCAUUUUGGACUUGUAAAACAAUAAAAUUUAAAAAUCUUUGCCGUGUUCCAGUUGCAAGCAAAAAUAAAUCUGUAAAAGUUGCUAUACUUUGUGCUUAACAUCAAGGCUAACUAUUAUUAGCAAAGUAUCAAUAAAAAUGUAUUUCUCAGCUUUUUCAGUGUUCAGACACUAUACUUACAUAUUUACAACAAGAGGUUGUACAAUAAUAUAAUCGGCAACUGAUUUAUUAAGAUACAAAGUGUCAAAAGUUAAACUUAUUUACCAGAAAUCAAAUUCAGAUAACAUAGUAAGGCAUCAAUAAAACAAAAAGCCACAGCCAGUUUUUCCAGUUUGUUUUGAAAUUUCAUUGUAAAUCGUUAUUUAACUAGAAAGUAAAAACAGGUUUACAUUACUAGUACGUCACUGGAGGCUUCACAGAGAGCAUUAUUUAAGAGGAGAGGGGUACAACUAUUUGUGAUUUUCCCUGCGUUUUUAUGCACAUUUGUUCCUCGGUAGUAUUUGUUUGUAUUCUGCACAGCUGCAACAAAACCCCUGAGCUGUAUGUGUGAAUAUGUUUCUGGAAAAACAAGCAUGGAAGCGAUUCAUAAGGAAAACCAGGGCAGACUGCUAUUCUUACACCGUUGUGGUGAAAUCCAGCAAAGAAAAUGUAUUCAUUUUUUAAUUUUUGCUGUGUUUUUGUUAUGAAUUUACAGUUGUUGAAAAAGAAAUGCAUUUCUGGCUCUUUGCUUUAUUAUUACUGGUGCUAUGUGCAAGUGUGAGGUAGCCAUGAUUGGUUUUGAGGUUGGGGUUCAAACAGAUACAUGUAAGAACAAGUGUUGUGUUACCCUCUGAUGAAAGAAAGUUGGUGAGGAUUUUCAGAAACAUCCCAGGAACCACAAAGAUCCUGACAAGAACUGGAAACAAGUAAAAACCAGCUUUUUGGCCAUAAUGACACAGAGUAUCUUUAAAGGAAUCACGGUGAAGCUUUCAAACCCAAGUACGCUGUACCAACUGUUAAGCAUGAUAAGCAUGAAAUUCCGACUGAGGCGGUGUGAAGAUCAAGUUUUCUGAAUUGGAAUCAGAAAAUUCAGACUUUAGAGCUUCUGUGGGUCGCAUUAAAACCUUCUGACUUUCCUGGUUUGAAUUCUGGACUUCAAGUGGUGUUCCAGUUAAUUUGUCCAACUUGGAACCCUUAGAUUCUGUCAUCUGUGUACAAAUAUAUUUGUAGCAUCAGUCUUUUCUGCACAUCUCAGAAAUAAGUUAUUUUCUAAUAACCACACCUGCACUGCAUUUAUCAUGAUCUCUGUCAGAUUAAAUAGGACAAUGUUACUGUGUUACUUUGUAUUAGUAUUUGUUCUUUUUCUCUACUUGCUAAGAUCAUUUGUGUUUAUGCAUCUCUUGGUUUUCACAUGUAUUUUUCAAUUUUUUUUAAUGCAAUUUCAUUAUCUUCUGUAUCAAAUUAAAGCUUUUUUGAUGUUGCAGACA